rnacentral:rRNA from 1 species
AGGGCAAUGGCGGGGUGCUAAUACAUGCAAGUCGAGCGGACAGAUGGGAGCUUGCUCCCUGAUGUUAGCGGCGGACGGGUGAGUAACACGUGGGUAACCUGCCUGUAAGACUGGGAUAACUCCGGGAAACCGGGGCUAAUACCGGAUGCUUGUUUGAACCGCAUGGUUCAAGCAUAAAAGGUGGCUUCGGCUACCACUUACAGAUGGACCCGCGGCGCAUUAGCUAGUUGGUGAGGUAAUGGCUCACCAAGGCAACGAUGCGUAGCCGACCUGAGAGGGUGAUCGGCCACACUGGGACUGAGACACGGCCCAGACUCCUACGGGAGGCAGCAGUAGGGAAUCUUCCGCAAUGGACGAAAGUCUGACGGAGCAACGCCGCGUGAGUGAUGAAGGUUUUCGGAUCGUAAAGCUCUGUUGUUAGGGAAGAACAAGUACCGUUCGAAUAGGGCGGUACCUUGACGGUACCUAACCAGAAAGCCACGGCUAACUACGUGCCAGCAGCCGCGGUAAUACGUAGGUGGCAAGCGUUGUCCGGAAUUAUUGGGCGUAAAGGGCUCGCAGGCGGUUUCUUAAGUCUGAUGUGAAAGCCCCCGGCUCAACCCGGGGAGGGUCAUUGGAAACUGGGGGAACUUGAGUGCAGAAGAGGAGAGUGGAAAUUCCACGUGUAGCGGUGAAAUGCGUAGAGAUGUGGAGGAACACCAGUUGGCGAAAGCGACUCCUCUGGUCUGUAACUGACGCUGAGAGCGAAGCGUGGGGAGCGAACAGGAUUAGAUACCCUGGUAGUCCCACGCCGUAACGAUGAGUGCUAGUGGUUUAAGGGGUUUCCCGCCCCCUUAUGCUGCAGCUACGCAUAGCACUCCCGGCUGGGGGAGUACGUCGCAGGACUGGAAACUCAAGAAUGACUGAGCCGCACAGCGUUGGGCAUGUGUUAUUCGAGCACCGGAGACUUACAGGUCUGACAGUCUCG